GACGAACGCUGGCGGCGUGCUUAACACAUGCAAGUCGAACGGAAAGGCCCUGCUUGCGGGGUACUCGAGUGGCGAACGGGUGAGUAACACGUGGGUGAUCUGCCCUGCACUUCGGGAUAAGCCUGGUAAACUGGGUCUAAUACCGGAUAGGAGCCAUUUUUAGUGUGAUGGUUGGAAAGUUUUUUCGGUGUAGGAUGAGCUCGCGGCCUAUCAGCUUGUUGGUGGGGUAAUGGCCUACCAAGGCGGCGACGGGUAGCCGGCCUGAGAGGGUGGACGGCCACAUUGGGACUGAGAGACGGCCCAGACUCCUACGGGAGGCAGCAGUGGGGAAUAUUGCACAAUGGGCGCAAGCCUGAUGCAGCGGCGCCGCGUGGGGGAUGACGGCCUUCGGGUUGUAAACUCAUUUCGCUAGGGACGAAGCUUUUUGUGACGGUACCUAGAUAAGAAGCACCGGCUAACUACGUG
rnacentral:rRNA from 1 species